UAGUAAUGGUGUGGACAAACACUUAAAAGUUCUUUAAACCUUUCCCAUCAUUGGAAGAAGGUUUCUUCAUCUUUUUGUAAAAAGUUCAUAAUGACCCUUCUAAGGGU